rnacentral:lncRNA from 1 species
GUCGGUUUGGGGAGACUGCCUGAGACACAGUGCUGGGGACGCCCAUCUAGUCUUCAGGAAGGCACCAGGGAUGCCUGGGUGCGACUGCCAGUAUUGGUUCUCUGCAUAACAGGAAAAGUUCAGAGUUCAAAUGGUUAACCUGCAACUAUAGAGAUAAGUAAACUUAACUUCAUAAAUUUAAAUUUGAGAGGCUUUCGCCUAUGGUUCCAUAAAACAGAAAAGAUGAUUUUCUUUUGUAGGCAUCUUGGCCCCCACAGGUAUGGCACAGAGAGCAGGGUCACCUGAGCCAUUCAGAGAAAGAUAACCCAAACCUCUGGCAUGCCUGUAAAAGGGAGCAUGACCUUGUUACCAUAUGGGGAUACUCUCUCGUGGUCUCUUCCAUCCAGAGGGCAGGAAUUAUCAGGUUCAUAUCAGGAGGCCAGUCUGAAAGGACCAGGAGGUUGAGAUGAGUCAGCACACUCUUGGUCCGAAGGUGUCAAGGCCUGGGGUGAGUUUUGUCUUAAGAUGUCCCAUCCCUAUGGGGCUUUUGUCAUCUUUUGCUAUUUUAAGCUCAUUUCUGAGAGUUAAU